rnacentral:rRNA from 1 species
AUAUUCGGCCACAUCACGCUGAGAGCACCGGUUCUCGUCCGAUCACCAAAGAUAAGCAACGUCGAGCCUAGUGAGUAAUUUGAUGUAUGUAUGUAUGUAUGUUCGUGAGAGUGUGUAAGUGUAUAUG